rnacentral:rRNA from 1 species
GAGGGGCUUGCGGCCUAUCAGCUAGUUGGCGGGGUAACGGCCCACCAAGGCGACGACGGGUAGCUGGUCUGAGAGGACGRCCAGCMGGACUGGGACUGAGACACGGCCCAGACUCCUACGGGGGGCAGCAAUCAGGAAUCUUGCGCAAUGGGCGAAAGCCUGACGCAGCGAUGCCGCGUGGACGAUGAAGUCUUUCGGGAUGUAAAGUCCUUUUGGCGGGGAAGAUGAUGACGGUACCCGCCGAAUAAGCCCCGGCUAACUACGUGCCAGCAGCCGCGGUAAUACGUAGGGGGCGAGCGUUGUCCGGAAUUACUGGGCGUAAAGGGCGCGCAGGCGGCCCGCUAAGUCCGCUGUGAAAGACCGGGGCUCAACCCCGGGGUGUCAGCGGAGACUGGUGGGCUAGGGUGUCGGAGAGGGAUGCGGAAUACCUGGUGUAGCGGUGGAAUGCGUAGAGAUCAGGUGGAACACCGAUGGCGAAGGCAGCAUCCUGGCCGGAGACCGACGCUGAGGCGCGAAAGCUGGGGGAGCGAACGGGAUUAGAUACCCCGGUAGUCCCAGCCGUAAACGAUGUCGACUAGGUGU